rnacentral:rRNA from 1 species
AUGACGUCAAGUCAUCAUGGCCCUUAUGUCCAGGGCGACACACGUGCUACAAUGGCCGGCACAACGGGAAGCGAGUUCGCGAGGACGAGACGGAUCCCUCAAAGCCGGUCGCAGUUCGGAUUGAAGUCUGCAACCCGACUUCAUGAAGCUGGAAUCGCUAGUAAUCGUGGAUCAGCCAAGCCGCGGUGAAUACGUUCCCGGGCCUU